UUAAAUGGCUGCAGUAUAUCUGACUGUACAAAGGUAGCAUAAUAAAUUGGUUUUUAAAUGAAAUCUAGAAUGAAAGGAUUAAUGAAAUAUAUACUGUCUCAUAUUUAUUUAAUGAAUUUAAAAUUUUAAUAAAAAUGUUAAAAUUUUUUUAUGGGACGAUAAGACCCUAUAGAAUUUUAUAUUAAUUUAAUUUUAUAUAAUAAUUAUAAAAUUUAAUUUAAUAUUUAGUUGGGAGAAUUAUUAAAUUUAAUAAAUUUUAAUUAAUAUAAACUUAGAUUAAAGGAAAUUUUUUGAUUUUUAAUUUAAAAUUAUUAGAUUAAAUUACCUUAGGGAUAACAGCGUAAUAUUUUUUUAUAGAUCUUAUAGAAAAAAAUGAUUGCGACCUCGAUGUUGAAUUAAGAUAAAUUUUAAACGCAGAAG
rnacentral:rRNA from 1 species